rnacentral:lncRNA from 1 species
GGAACCAUGUGCACAAAGUAAUGCCAAAAAUUAGUUAAUCAAAAUAAAAAAGUAACAAAAUAAAGUUUUUUCAACUUUUUAAAACUGCGCCAUCUCACUCAACUAUGUUGGGAGAGAUGGCGCAGACUAUCUAUUCCCGACUGUAAAUUAAUAUUUUUUAUAGAUGCUCAUCGAUUAAAAAUGAAAAGGAAACUGCUCCAGCAAAAUAACUAGUGAGGAGCCGCUGACUUCAGUUAUGAAUUCAGUAAGAAAUGACAAUAUAGGCUUAAAUGAAGUGGCCAGGCAAUUUGGAGUACCCUGUAUCACACUAAGGAGGAAGCUUAGAACUGUUAACGCUGAUAAGAAAACCUUAGGACAGUCAUCAAUAUUAGGCCACGAAAAUAAAAGAAAAAUGAGGAUAUUAAUCAAAAAUAGUGCCUGCGCCAUCUCAGCCAAUUAUUUUUGGUAGGAGCAAUCACGUGUUCUUUACUGUUGAAUGCGUUGUGUUAAUUUAGAGUUAGAACACUCUUAUAAGCAUUACAUUAUUCAUACAUAACAGCUAUUUUUUUAAAAGAAUCCCUCGUUCUAAUCUCAUAUUUUUAUUAUAGAAAAACAGUUGUAAAUAAUUUUAUAAGCAUGCCGAAAUAUAAUAUGGAUUAUUUAAUUGACUUAAAUAAAGAAAAUCAGCAUCCACGCUGUUCAUGCAAGUGAAUAACAGUUACUGUGGGCCGUAAUCAUUACCACAAUGCCAUCCUGGUCCAAGAAUGUGAAUAUACUUAGCUGAGCCGUCUCUCUCGACUUUACCAUAUUUAAAUACAUUUUAAAAAAAUUUUAUAGACCAUUAAUUUUAUUAAUAACUAUGCCUUAUAAUUAAAUAUAAUCGAAAAAUCUUUUUUGGUUCAUCAUGGAUAGAUAUCGGCGAUCAUAUUGCAGUUAAUGACUAAUGCAAUCCACACAAUAGAAAUUUGAUCGAGAGUUUGUAUUAUUUUUUUUUAAUUGCUUUUAAAAAUCGAAUUAAUCCGAAACUUUGUG